rnacentral:rRNA from 1 species
AAAGCGUGCGCAGGCGGUUAUGUAAGACAGAUGUGAAAUCCCCGGGCUCAACCUGGGAACUGCAUUUGUGACUGCAUGGCUAGAGUACGGUAGAGGGGGAUGGAAUUCCGCGUGUAGCAGUGAAAUGCGUAGAUAUGCGGAGGAACACCGAUGGCGAAGGCAAUCCCCUGGACCUGUACUGACGCUCAUGCACGAAAGCGUGGGGAGCAAACAGGAUUAGAUACCCCGGU